CUUGACUCGAGAAGGGUUGCAGGUGUGGCUGCUGUAUCACAUGGGCGUCAGAGGGUGGCAGAAAGGAGAAAAGCUGUGUCUACACUGAGUGUUCUGACCUAUGGACAUCUGAAUGAUGAGUAACCUAACACU